CUCCCGCGGUGCCCGUUCCCCCGCCGCUCAUGUGACGCCAGCUUAAGCUGAACGGGACCGAAGCCGGGAGACGCCUCCCCGAGCUCGGGGACUGAGUGGCAGCGCGCUUGGGAGCGCCAGGAGCCGCCGGGAUUGGACCCGUUCCCCGCCACCGUUAUUGCGCUCCCACGCGCGCUCCAAACCCCGGGGUGGGAGGGGGCUGGAGAAAGGACGCGAGGAAACCCGAAGAACAUUCGUUUUCUCUUUCCCAGGGACCCUGGGUCUGGGCAGGAACCCGGUUUCUCGCCAGCGAACUGCUCUCAGAGGCUACCGAGCGUUCCCGCCUCGCCGCAGGAACUCUUCCAGCUCGCCCUCGGGCUCUGGGGACCGCUCCACAGCGGGGCCUCCCGGAAUUCCCUGCCGGUCUCCGCGGGCACACUUGGCUGGCUGCUGCGGCCAAAACUACCUUCGCGUGGCAGGGUCCUCCCUCCUCCUCACAGACACCCCGACAUCACCCUCAAAACUGGAAGGGACAGCCCCGAGUGAUCUAGAGACCAGUGAGGCAGGGCAGGAGACACUCAGCAGUUUCCCUCGUGCGGGAUCUCUAAUAAGAGGCUGGUAGAAAAGUUCCUGUGCUUCCCAUGCUCUGCCCAGUUCUAGGGUCUCAGACAGAAUCACCUCCAUCCCACCUACCUCACAGGAUGGCUGUGCACAUUCAUUCAUUAACUAUUUUUUAUUGAGUAUCUACUAUGUACCAGACACUGUUUUGCCACAGAUGAUGU